AAUGGGCGCAAGCCUGAUCCAGCCAUGCCGCGUGAAGGAUUAAGGCCCUCUGGGUUGUAAACUUCUUUUGUAGAGGAAAAAACCCCCCGAUUCUUUGGGGGCUGAUGGUACUCUGCGAAUAAGCAUCGGCUAACUCCGUGCCAGCAGCCGCGGUAAUACGGAGGAUGCGAGCGUUAUCCGGAUUUACUGGGUUUAAAGGGUGCGUAGGCGGCUUUGUAAGUCAGUGGUGAAAGCUCCCGGCUUAACUGGGAAAUUGCCAUUGAUACUGCUUAGCUUGAGUACAGUUGAGGUAGGCGGAAUAUGUCAUGUAGUGGUGAAAUACUUAGAUAUGACAUAGAACACCGAUUGCGAAGGCAGCUUGCUAAACUGUAACUGACGCUGAGGCACGAAAGCGUGGGGAGCAAA
rnacentral:rRNA from 1 species